rnacentral:lncRNA from 1 species
CCGGAGGGAAAGAAAGAGCGGUCAGAGUAAUUACAGGGAGAACAUUUCCAGGUGUGGUGUCAGCACAGCGGCAGGUCACCGUUCAGGAAGGACCCUUGUACCGCACGGAGGGCUCCCACAUCACUAUCUGGUGCAAUGUGAGUGGCUACCAGGGACCUUCUGAACAGAAUUUCCAGUGGUCCAUUUACCUGCCUUCGUCGCCAGAGCGAGAGGUGCAGAUCGUCAGCACCAUGGACUCUUCCUUCCCCUAUGCCAUCUACACCCAGCGCGUCCGCGGAGGGAAGAUCUUCAUAGAAAGAGUCCAGGGGAACCCAACCCUAUUGCACAUCACAGAUCUUCAGGCCCGGGAUGCCGGGGAAUAUGAAUGCCACACACCCAGCACCGAGAAGCAAUACUUUGGGAGUUAACAGUGCAAAGAUGAACCUAGUGGCAGCAAGGCAAGUGAGGUGCUGCCGUCAUCCAGGCUGGACAGUUCAGUGAUUUGCCUGAGGCCCCACAGCAGAGUUCAACUGGAGACAGAGAA